UCGCCUGUUUUACAAAAACAUGUCCUUUUGAGUUUUAUUUAAGGUCUGACCUGCCCUAUGAGAAAUUAAAUGGCCGCGGUAUUUUAACCGUGCAAAGGUAGCAUAGUCACUUGUCUCUUAAUUGGAGGCUUGAAUGAAGGGUUGGACGAGAUAUAAACUUUCUUUAUUAUAUUGGGUUGAAUUUGACUUUUGAGUCAAAAGGCUUAAAUUUAUUUAUAGGACGAGAAGACCCUAUAGAAUUUUAUAUUUUAUUAUAAAUAAUUUAUUUGUUUAUAAUUAGAUUUUUUACAAUAAAAUAUUUUGUUGGGGCGAUGGGGAGAUUUUUUUAACUCUUUUUUUUUAUUAACAUUGAUAUAUGUAUUUUUGAUCCUUUUUUAGAGAUUAAAAGAUUAAAUUACCUUAGGGAUAACAGCGUAAUUCUUUUGGAGAGUUCUUAUCGAUAAAAGAGUUUGCGACCUCGAUGUGGAUUAAAA
rnacentral:rRNA from 1 species